rnacentral:rRNA from 1 species
UGGGGAAUAUUGCACAAUGGGCGAAAGCCUGAUGCAGCAACGCCGCGUGAGUGAUGAAGGCCUUCGGGUUGUAAAGCUCUGUCUUUUGGGACGAUAAUGACGGUACCAAAGGAGGAAGCCACGGCUAACUACGUGCCAGCAGCCGCGGUAAUACGUAGGUGGCAAGCGUUGUCCGGAUUUACUGGGCGUAAAGGAUGCGUAGGCGGAUUUUUAAGUGAGAUGUGAAAACCCUAAGCUUAACUUGGGGACUGCAUUUCAUACUGGAAAUCUAGAGUGCGGGAGAGGAGAAUGGAAUUCCUAGUGUAGCGGUGAAAUGCGUAGAGAUUAGGAAGAACACCAGUGGCGAAGGCGAUUCUCUGGACCGUAACUGACGCUGAGGCAUGAAAGCGUGGGUAGCAAACAGGAUUAGAUACCCUGGUAGUCCACGCCGUAAACGAUGAGUACUAGGUGUAGGAGGUAUCGACCCCUUCUGUGCCGCAGUUAACACAAUAAGUACUCCGCCUGGGAAGUGCGAUCGCAAGAUUAAAACUCAAAUGAA